CACGUAGGCGGGAACUUAAGUCAGGUGUGAAAGACCGUGGCUCAACCACGGGGUGGCAUUUGAAACUGGGUUUCUUGAGGGCAGGAGAGGAAAGCAGAAUUCCUGGUGUAGCGGUGAAAUGCGUAGAAAUCAGGAGGAAUACCAGUGGCGAAGGCGGCUUUCUGGACUGACCCUGACGCUGAGGUGCGAAAGCGUGGGUAGCAAACA
rnacentral:rRNA from 1 species